CCCAGACUCCUACGGGAGGCAGCAGUGGGGAAUAUUGCACAAUGGGGGGAACCCUGAUGCAGCGACGCCGCGUGGGUGAAGGAGCGUUUCGGCGCGUAAAGCCCUAUCGGCAGGGAAGAAGGAGGACGGUACCUGACUAAGAAGCCCCGGCUAACUACGUGCCAGCAGCCGCGGUAAUACGUAGGGGGCAAGCGUUAUCCGGAUUUACUGGGUGUAAAGGGGGCGCAGACGGCAGCGCAAGCCAGGAGUGAAAGCCCGGGGCCCAACCCCGGGACUGCUCUUGGAACUGCGCGGCUGGAGUGCAGGAGGGGCAGGCGGAAUUCCUGGUGUAGCGGUGAAAUGCGUAGAUAUCAGGAGGAACACCGGUGGCGAAGGCGGCCUGCUGGACUGCGACUGACGUUGAGGCCCGAAAGCGUGGGGAGCAAACAGGAUUAGAUACCCCAGUAAG
rnacentral:rRNA from 1 species